rnacentral:lncRNA from 1 species
AUAGGAUGAUUUGCUAGCCCUGCUAGAGGAUUUCUAUAAAAGUAAUUUUGAUGUGUCCAGACUUAAUUAUGUUUCCACUCUCUCAUUCCGAAAAAGGAAGGCAUACUCACUACUAAGGAUUUGUGGCCAAUCAAUUUGUUGAACAGAAUUUAUAAAAUCAUCUCGAAAAUCUUUGCCAAUAGGUCAAGUUACCUCCACGUUCCGGUUAAUGAUUCUCUAUCAACUUUUAUUAAGGCAUGAGUGAUC